rnacentral:rRNA from 1 species
AACGAACGCUGGCGGCAGGCUUAACACAUGCAAGUCGAGCGCCCCGCAAGGGGAGCGGCAGACGGGUGAGUAACGCGUGGGAAUCUACCGUACCCUACGGAAUAGCUCCGGGAAACUGGAAUUAAUACCGUAUACGCCCUACGGGGGAAAGAUUUAUCGGGGUAUGAUGAGCCCGCGUUGGAUUAGCGAGUUGGUGGGGUAAAGGCCGACCAAGGCGACGAUCCAUAGCUGGUCUGAGAGGAUGAUCAGCCACAUUGGGACUGAGACACGGCCCAAACUCCGACGGGAGGCAGCAGUGGGGAAUAUUGGACAAUGGGCGCAAGCCUGAUCCAGCCAUGCCGCGUGAGUGAUGAAGGUCUUAGGAUUGUAAAGCUCUUUCACCGAUGAAGAUAAUGACGGUAGUCGGAGAAGAAGCCCCGGCUAACUUCGUGCCAGCAGCCGCAGUAA